AGAGUUUGAUCCUGGCUCAGAUUGAACGCUGGCGGCAUGCCUUACACAUGCAAGUCGAACGGUAACGCGGGGGCAACCCUGGCGACGAGUGGCGAACGGGUGAGUAAUACAUCGGAACAUAUCCAGUAGCGGGGGAUAACCUAUCGAAAGAUGGACUAAUACCGCAUACGAUCUACGGAUGAAAGCUGGGGACCGCAAGGCCUUGCACUAUUGGAGUGGCCGAUGUCGGAUUAGCUAGUUGGUGGGGUAAAGGCUUACCAAGGCGACGAUCCGUAGCUGGUCUGAGAGUACGAUCAGCCACACUGGAACUGAGACACGGUCCAGACUCCUACGGGAGGCAGCAGUGGGGAAUUUUGGACAAUGGGCGCAAGCCUGAUCCAGCCAUGCCGCGUGAGUGAAGAAGGCCUUCGGGUUGUAAAGCUCUUUCGGUGAAGACGAAACGGUUAGCGCUAAUAACGCUGACUAAUGACGGUACUCACAGAAGAAGCACCGGCUAACUACGUGCCAGCAGCCGCGGUAAUACGUAGGGUGCAGGCGUUAAUCGGAAUUACUGGGCGUAAAGCGUGCGCAGGCGGUUUGCUAAGACAGGUGUGAAAUCCCCGGGCUUAACCUGGGAAUUGCGCUUGUAACUGGCAAGCUAGAGUGUGGCAGAGGGGGUGGAAUUCCACGUGUAGCAGUGAAAUGCGUAGAUAUGUGGAGGAACACCGAUGGCGAAGGCAGCCCCCUGGGUUAACACUGACGCUCAUGCACGAAAGCGUGGGGAGCAAACAGGAUUAGAUACCCUGGUAGUCCACGCCCUAAACUAUGUCAACUAGUUGUCGGGGAAGAAAUUCCUUGGUAACGAAGCUAACGCGUGAAGUUGACCGCCUGGGGAGUACGGCCGCAAGGUUAAAACUCAAAGGAAUUGACGGGGACCCGCACAAGCGGUGGAUUAUGUGGAUUAAUUCGAUGCAACGCGAAAAACCUUACCUACCCUUGACAUGCUAGGAAGCCCGCAGAGAUGUGGGUGUGCCCGAAAGGGAACCUAGACACAGGUGCUGCAUGGCUGUCGUCAGCUCGUGUCGUGAGAUGUUGGGUUAAGUCCCGCAACGAGCGCAGCCCUUGCCAUUAGUUGCUACAUUCAGUUGGGCACUCUAAUGGGACCGCCGGUGACAAACCGGAGGAAGGUGGGGAUGACGUCAAGUCCUCAUGGCCCUUAUGGGUAGGGCUUCACACGUAAUACAAUGGUCGGUACAGAGGGCUGCCAACCCGCAAGGGGGAGCUAAUCCCAGAAAGCCGAUCGUAGUCCGGAUUGUAGUCUGCAACUCGACUGCAUGAAGCCGGAAUCGCUAGUAAUCGCGGAUCAGCAUGUCGCGGUGAAUACGUUCCCGGGUCUUGUACACACCGCCCGUCACACCAUGGGAGUGGGUUCCACCAGAAGUAGUUAGCCUAACCGCAAGGAGGGCGAUUACCACGGUGAGAUUCAUGACUGGGGUGAAGUCGUAACAAGGUA
rnacentral:rRNA from 1 species